GAGAGCACAGCACGAUGAAAGUUGUAAGCUGUGUUCGGGGGGGAGUUAUUGUCUAUCGUUGGCCUCUAUGGUAGAACCCGUCGGGGAGGCCUGAGAGGCGGUGGUUUACCCUGU
rnacentral:ncRNA from 1 species